GACAGAGGGUGCAAACGUUGUUCGGAAUUACUGGGCGUAAAGCGCGUGUAGGCUGCUCUGCAAGUCGGAUGUGAAAGCCCUGGGCUCAACCUAGGAAGUGCACUCGAAACUGCAGAGCUCGAGUCUCGGAGAGGAUCGCGGAAUUCUCGGUGUAGAGGUGAAAUUCGUAGAUAUCGAGAGGAACACCAGUGGCGAAGGCGGCUCUCUGGACAGGUACUGACGCUGAGAGACGAAAGCUAGGGGAGCGAAUGGG
rnacentral:rRNA from 1 species